AACAAACGCUGGCGGCGUGCCUAAUACAUGCAAGUCGAACGGGGUAGCAAUACCUAGUGGCGCACGGGUGAGUAACGCGUGGAUAAUCUGCCUUAGAGUGGGGGACAACUAGUCGAAAGAUUAGCUAAUACCGCAUAAGACCACAAGAACUGCGGUUCAAGGGGUCAAAGGUUUUUCGCUCUAAGAUGAGUCCGCGUAAGAUUAGCUAGUUGGUGAGGUAAUGGCUCACCAAGGCGACGAUCUUUAACUGGUCUGAGAGGAUGAUCAGUCACGCUGGAACUGAGACACGGUCCAGACCCCUACGGGAGGCAGCAGUAGGGAAUAUUGCACAAUGGAGGAAACUCUGAUGCAGCGACGCCGCGUGAGUGAUGAAGGCCUUCGGGUCGUAAAGCUCUGUCGCAGGGGAAUAACACAAUGAAUGUACCCUGUAAGAAAGGAUCGGCUAACUUCGUGCCAGCCGCCGCGGUAAGAC
rnacentral:rRNA from 1 species